rnacentral:misc_RNA from 1 species
AACUUUUGGCAAUGGAUCACUUGGCUCUCGCAUCGAUGAAGAACGCAGCGAAAUGCGAUAAGUAAUGUGAAUUGCAGAAUUCAGUGAAUCAUCGAAUCUAUGAACGCACCUUGCGCCCCUCGGUUAUUCCUUGGGGCAUGCCUGUUUGAGUAUCAUGAACACCUCAACUCUCACGGUCUUCCGUGACGAGCUAGGACUUUGGGGCUUUGCUGGCCCUGCGGCCGGCUCCUCUCAAACAAAUCACAUUGCCAGUGCUUGGCGGCAUCUCACGGGUGUGAUAACUAUCUACUCUCCUGGCUGUCUGCCAGGUAACCCUCUGCGAUGAAGGGUCAUUGGGGCUGAUAAACGUCUCUCCGCUGCAAGGACAGCUUUUGUACGUUCGAUCUCAAUUCAGAUAGGACUACCCGCGGAACUUAAGCAGAUCAAUAAGCGAAGGCU